rnacentral:rRNA from 1 species
GACGAACGCUGGCGGCGUGCCUAAUACAUGCAAGUUGAGCGCUGAAGGUUGGUACUUGUACCAACUGGAUGAGCAGCGAACGGGUGAGUAACGCGUGGGGAAUCUGCCUUUGAGCGGGGGACAACAUUUGGAAACGAAUGCUAAUACCGCAUAAAAACUUUAAACACAAGUUUUAAGUUUGAAAGAUGCAAUUGCAUCACUCUAAGAUGAUCCCGCGUUGUAUUAGCUAGUUGGUGAGGUAAAGGCUCACCAAGGCGAUGAUACAUAGCCGACCUGAGAGGGUGAUCGGCCACAUUGGGACUGAGACACGGCCCAAACUCCUACGGGAGGCAGCAGUAGGGAAUCUUCGGCAAUGGACGAAAGUCUGACCGAGCAACGCCGCGUGAGUGAAGAAGGUUUUCGGAUCGUAAAACUCUGUUGGUAGAGAAGAACGUUGGUGAGAGUGGAAAGCUCAUCAAGUGACGGUAACUACCCAGAAAGGGACGGCUAACUACGUG